rnacentral:misc_RNA from 1 species
AAAAUAAUCCUACCCUUUGUGAAUUUUGUUUGUUUGAAUAAUUUUUUUUUUUAAAAAGUUAUUGGAGUCUUUCCCUUUAGAGUUUGCUUUUGAGUUUGUAAAAGAAUUCGAAAACAUCUAAAGGGGAUGGUCAAUAAUUUUUUUGAAAAAAGACAUUUUUUAAAAUUAAACUUUUUGUAUUCAUUUGUCUAAAAAUUAUUUUUAUAAUAUAAAACAACUUUUGACAAUGGAUCUCUUGGUUCUCGCAACGAUGAAGAACGCAGCAAAAUGCGAUAAGUAGUGUGAAUUGCAGAAUACGUGAAUCAUCGAAUCUUUGAACGCAUAUCGCACUUUUUAGUUUACUAAAAAAGUAUGUCUGUUUGAGUAUCAGUAAAAUAUUCUCAUAAAAAUCAUUGUGUAUUUUUAUGGUUAUGAGUGUUUUACAACGAUACAAGUUGUUUCACUUUAAAUUUUUUUUUAAUAUUGAAAUUUUUCUAAUUUUAAUAAUUAAAAUUGGAUAAAAUUUUCCCGUCAAAAGGAAUAACCUAAACAAUUUUAAAUGAUUAAUUUUAGCAAAAUUUUCGAAAAAAGGAAAAUUUUUAUUAAAAUAACUUGAUCUCAAAUCAGAUAAGAGUACCCGCUGAACUUAAGCAUAUCAAUAAGCGGAGGAAAAGAAACUAACAAGGAUUCCCUUAGUAACGGCGAGUGAAGCGGGAGAGCUCAAAUUUGAAAUCUUCAAGUUUUACCUUGACGAAUUGUAGUUUAAAGAAGUGUUUUCUGCUGAAGUUUUGGUAAAAGUUCUUUGGAAUAGGACAUCAUAGAGGGUGAGAAUCCCGUAUUUGACCAUUAUUUUCAGCUUUGUGAUACACUUUCAAAGAGUCGGAUUGUUUGGGAAUGCAGUCCAAAAUGGGUGGUAAAUUUCAUCUAAAGCUAAUAUUGGCGAGAGACCGAUAGCGAACAAGUACCGUGAGGGAAAGAUGAAAAGAACUUUGAAAAGAGAGUUAAACAGUACGUGAAAUUGUCAAAAGGGAAGCGUUUGACACCAGUGUUGUUUUCUCGAAAUCAAUUAAAAAUGGCUCGAUUUUGUAUUGCUGAGACCUUAAAAGCUCACUGUACAUUUUUCGCGUCUUUUUUAAUGCACUUUUCGUUUAACAAGUCAACAUCAGUUUCUUUUGUUGUAAAAGGGUCAUUGGAAGGUGGCUUUCUUUUCGGAGAAAGUGUUUAUAGCCUUUGGCCUCUGCAAUCGAGAGACUGAGGUCUGCAGCGUAGACUCUUCGGGGUUAGAUACAUUUGUGCUAAGUUAUAGCUUUUUAUAGACAACUUGUUGACUAUAAUUAGUCUUGUAGCUUACUCGCUUAUGCUAUUUUACCUACGCUUAGGAUG